CCUACGUGAGGCAGCAGUAGGGAAUCUUCCACAAUGGGCGAAAGCCUGAUGGAGCAACGCCGCGUGGGUGAAGAAGGUCUUCGGAUCGUAAAACCCUGUUGUUAGAGAAGAAAGUGCGUGAGAGUAACUGUUCACGUUUCGACGGUAUCUAACCAGAAAGCCACGGCUAACUACGUGCCAGCAGCCGCGGUAAUACGUAGGUGGCAAGCGUUAUCCGGAUUUAUUGGGCGUAAAGGGAACGCAGGCGGUCUUUUAAGUCUGAUGUGAAAGCCUUCGGCUUAACCGGAGUAGUGCAUUGGAAUCUGGGAGACUUGAGUGCAGAAGAGGAGAGUGGAACGCCAUGUGUAGCGGUGAAAUGCGUAGAUAUAUGGAAGAACACCAGUGGCGAAAGCGGCUCUCUGGUCUGUAACUGACGCUGAGGUUCGAAAGCGUGGGUAGCAAACAGGAUUAGAUACCCGAGUAGUC
rnacentral:rRNA from 1 species